CUUUGGCAUUGUAGAGAACAAGCCCGUGUCCUGGAUCCAUCUAAACUGGCCUCCUCCACAUCAGUGCCGAAGGGAGGGCCUGACCUUGCACACUGCUGAUCCUAUUAAGACUAAAGUUAUGCAUUCACAGCCAAAACAUUAAGGAAUAAAGCACACAAAGGCUGAAAAGUGUCAUUAGUACAGAGCAACCACAGCUGUCUGGAGAUCACACUUUGAGAUACUGAUGUGGAGUCCCCCAUGAUAUGAACCAAACUUUGCUAUUUCUUUUCCAGUUGUUAACUAGUAGAUAUAACUAAACAGUCUGAUUAAGCAAUUGCAUUGUGAACCCUGUAAGCUCGGCUAAUCUUUUGCUUUAAGGCAGAGGGAAGACAAUCCCAAGAUGAAUGGGCCGUCUGUCUGGACAACAGCCACCGGGUGUGAAGUCAGCAGGACUGAGCAGUAACUGGGGGAAAGGUAAUUCCAGCAGUAGAAGAUCGUGACACCAACCCAUGAUCACCUACUCAAAACAGACCCCAGACUCAAAGGGAGGGAAAAACUGCACAUGUGGACUAAUUAGCAUGAGAAGCGAGAGAUACAACCAGCAAACAGGGGGUUGAGUACUAAUUAAUAAGAAAGGCAUCAGUGCUGUGGGGCCAGGCUUGCCCCAUGGCUGGACAGUGAGAGCACCAUGUGAUCCCAGUAUCCUGAUGCCCUGGCUACAAGGCCAUGUUUCCUGUCAGUGUCACAGGCUAAACAACACUGAUCCCUGGAGGACACCACUAGUGACCGGCCACCAACUGGAUGCAGCACCGUUCACCACCACUCUCUGGGCCCGGCCAUCAGCCAGUUCUUAACCCAGCAGAGAGUGCCCCUGUCCAAGCCAUGGGCUGCCAGCUUUUCCAGGAGUGUGCCGUGGGAGAUGGUGUCAAAGGCUUUGCUGAAAUCCAGGUAAGCAACAUCCACAGCCUUUCCUUCAUCCACCAGGCAGGUCACCUGGUCAUAAAAUGAAAUGAGGUUAGUCAGGCAGGGCCUGCCUUUCCUAAACUGGUGCUUACUGGGUCUGAUCCCUUGAUUGUCCUGUAUGUGCUGUGUGAUCCCACUCAAGGUGAUCUGCUCCAUAACCUUGGCAGACACUGAGGUCAGCUGACAGGCCUGUGGUUCGUCAGAUUCUCCUUCCAGACUUUCUUGUGGAUGGGCGUCACAUGGCCAGCCUCCAGUCAUCUGGGAUCUUUCCGGUCAGCCAGGACUGAUGAUAAAUGACGAGAGGAUAAAUGAUGAUUAAAAGCUGGACAGCAGCUUAGUGAGCUCUUCUGCCAGCUCCCUCAGUGCCCUAGGAUGAAACCCAUCUGGUCCCAUUCAGCUCUUGGGUUCAGACUGAUCUUGGUGAGUCACGGAACUGCAGAGCUCAGGAGAUUCAUCACGGCAGUCCCCAGCCAAGGCCACACCUGACAGGUGUCCUCACAGCCCCUGGGCCAUCCCACACCAUGAGAAAGGCUCCUCCAAAGCCUGAUGAAGCCAUGAUGUAAAUACCUGUGAAAUACUGGGGAAUUCCUCCUGGCCCAUUCUCACAGCCCAUCUCUGGAGUGCAAGGUAACACGCAGCUCACCAGGACCUCACUUCACCUGUGUGCAGAGAGCUGGAAGGGACAGUGGGGAUGACUGAGGGAAAAUGGUCUGAAAAGGGGAUACCACGGCCAGCUAAAAGCUUCUCUGAGGGCCCUGCACCCAUGAACGUGGUCCACAGCAAAGGCUGUGGCCAAUACAGGACAGAGCAGUUGCCAUCCCACUGCCGCCUCCCUGUGCACCCAUUUCCUGCAGUUUGUUUUCUCUUGGAUGACUUGUGUGCUAUAAAUCAUAGAACCACUUAGCAUGGAAAAGACCUUUAAGAUCAUAGAGUCUAGACAUUAACACAUUAAUUUGUCACUGUCUCUGAGGAAUUUCACAUCCAGUAACUCGAAUUAAUAUUGUGGGAACCCACGGGAAACCUGAGAAAUGCAAAUGUAUUUCUCUUGCAAUCAGCACCAACUGGGCCAUGUGGCCUCAUGCUGACUGAUGACAUAUGUAAGCUCCAGAGAGCAGUGAAAUGCUGCUCAUUUAGGGGUUUAAAUGCUUACACACUGCAGAGAUCUGCUGUAAGCAGCCUGGCUUCCCAAAUAGGAGCUCAUCCAUCCAUUAGCUUUCCAGUAGUCUGAAAUGCAAUUUACCAACUUUACUUAUUUCCUCCAUUCCUCCCACAUGGCCUCUUGGAGCAAAUCACACCUCAUUUACAAGGCAGUCACCAGAAGGCAAGUUAAACUGAGAACACUUGUGCUGGGGCUGAUUUGGAACCAGGGGAAGGCGCAGCCAGCCAGCCCUCCCGGCUCCAAGGUUUUGCAAGAUGGGCGAUCCUUUGCAUCACUUAGCAGUGAUUAAGUUUGCUUAAACUGAUUAUCUGCUGGAGCAGCUGACAGACAGCAGAUUGCCAAGACACUUUUUGGACCCAGAAAAUGUCAGCUUGAAUAGAGGUCUAAGAGAAGCAUAAAAAUCUGGACUGGUGAGGAGGAGAAGGGAGACAGGCAGUGGUCAGAGUGGGCUCAGCAGUGCCACACUGUCAGCUUGUGAUGAGAUAGACUGGAUGCAGCUUGCAGGGCUCACUCUAGUGAGCCACUCCCCUGCCACAGCUGUUUCUAUUUUGCUUUUGGGGGCAUCACUGGGUUAUGUCUUGAAGGACAUUUCUCCUGUUUCCUGUCAGCAUGGCAAAACUGCUUGUUGUGGAAAUCAGAUUGUUAUUCUCCCUACAGCUCUUGUCAAACCCAGCACAGAGACAGAGGGACUGGUAUUCCCUGCAGAGGCAAGAACUGCUCAAAAAUAAAAUCUGCCCAAGCAAUUUGUGAUUUGGAGCACAUCAGCUGCCUUUGGUGCCAGAGAACUGCAGCUCAGGUGCUCUCAGCUCUCUGAUCCUCAAAGCCAGCUCCAGCUGGGCACGGACACACAACUCUCAGCUCUGUAGCUCCUUUCUGGAGCCUCAGAACAGUGCUGGGGUUCCUAGCCAGGCUCUGAAGCUGAUCUCAAGCAGCCCCUGCAGAGAGGGCAGGAUGGAGAAUUGCACUCCAGGGACAAGGCUGUGUCCCUCCUCUGCAGACAGUGCUCCUCUCAAGGACCUGGUGUCCAGCACAAAGAAAGUCUUUGCCCCAGAAGUCUGUCAGUCUCUGACAGAUGGGGCUUUGGUUUCUCAUCUUCAGAGAUGUCUAGAAGAAUUACAAGAGUCUUGGGAAGGCAAGCGCUGGAUUACUUUGAUCUUAGGAAAAUCACAUGUUUAAGUAAUGCAUUUUUACCCCAUACUUGACUACAUACAUACUGUGUUAUUAAAAGCCUACAAAGGGCUCUGCAUGGGGUGGAGAAGUGCCACCAACCACAAUGCCCAGCAUCAAACUCCCCUGCUCAGCUUGAGGGACACUUCUGACAGGGACCAGCUGACAUCCACUAGUUCUGGCAUGUCUGCCUUAGAAUCACAGAGUGGCUUUGAUUGGAAGCAACCUUAAAGGUCAUCUGGUUCCAACCCCCCUGCCAUGGCCAGGUAUGCCUUCCACUAGACCAGGUUAGUCAGAGCUCCACUCAGCCUGGCUUUGAACACUUCCAGGCAUGGGGCAUCCACAGCUUCUCUGGGCAACUUGUGCCAGGGCCUCACUACUCUCACAGUAAAGAAUUACUUCCUAAUAUCUUAUCUAAACCUGCUCUCUUUUAGUUUGAAGCCAUUACCCCUUGUCCUGUCACUACAUGCCCUUGCAAAAAGUCUCAGUUUUUCUUGUGGGCUCCCUUCAGUUCACAAUCAGGUCACCCAAAACCUUCUCUUUUCCAGGCUGAACAACCCCAGUUCUCUCAGCCUUAGGGGAGCAAUGCUGCCCCAGGAUUGGAACAUCAGACAUAGAGGCUCCCAGGCUCCUACUAUUGUCUAUGCCUCCAUCAAUACUUUCAGUGCAAAGGUACAGGGAGCUCUGCAUGGGAGUGCACAUUUAGUUACCUGCAGCCAGAGUUGACCAGAGAGUGACAACACUCCUGCCCUGCAUCUGUCUCUCAGGCAGCUCCACAAAGUCCCGGUCUCCAUUUCAGCAGGACACAUGGCUGAAGGAGAACCAUUUGACUCUAUUUCAGAGGCUGGAGCAGUAGCCCCUCCACCUCAGCUUUCUCCAGCCCAGACUCUCUCUGUCAGGGUUAGGCUCUUUCUGGCUGCUGGGGGAGUUUUUGCACCCAGGUGUGGCUCUCGAGCAGGGACCAUGGUGCAACUGGAGCUGCUUGUCAUGGUGGGCUCCCAGAAGGCAGCACCGCUGCCUGCAGAGACACACCCCACCCUAAAAAUUUCCAGCUGACUCGAGCAGUUUCAGUUUUUCCAUCCUAAAUUCUGCCCAAGUCAUAGCAGUAUUGAUGAUAUCACAGGGUGGAGAGACAUGACUGCUCCACUCCUAGCACUACACAGAUGACUCCGCCACAUUAUCAGCUGAACUUCUCCGGGAUUUUUUUUUUUCUUUCUUUCUAAAUGCCAGAAGUCUUUUUCCAGCAAAAAAAUGUUGAUUUCUUUGCAGUUAAACUGCAACAAACUCAUAUCAAGCUAAUGCAAGAAAGCAAAGCGGACCAAAAGGCAGCUCUUCCAGUGGUCCUACUGGAACGAUAAAAUGCCAAGGGAACAGAUUAAAAAUCCCCCCUUCAUUCUGGUGUCACCGUGGGAGGCAGGGUGGGCCAUCAGACAGGGCUAAGUGCAUCACAAUCUUGAGAGAAGUGUGAGUGCCAUGUUAAGCUACAGGGGCUUUAUUUUCCAGCACUAACCAGCAUCUCUACACAGAUCUACACUGAUUUUGCAGAUGGUAAGUAAAGCAACAGAUGAGUCAUAACCACAAAUACCAUUUAUCAAUUAACAACAUUAGCCUGCCAUGGAGAAAUUAGUGGAAGAAGUAGAAAAAUGACUGGCAGUAUCUUUGCCUGAAAGGUGGGAAAGUGGGCAUGAAACCUGGCAAAGCACAGCACAAACCAUUUGAGGUUUGAUGGUACCUCACAGCGGCAUCUUACAGGUACUGCCAUCAUCCACCAUCAAAGCAAGAUGAGACACUGGCUUGGAGAGAGUGGCCUGCUUUCCCCUCUGUCCCAGCCUGCCCAGCCAAGCUGGUGGGCUCAUUCCCAUCAGGACUCACACAUCUUUGGGUGUCCUUGGGAGCUGCCAAGGGUAUGUGCAAGAGUGAACCUAAAUGCGGACAGAUUUCCCAUCACUUCCAUCUUCAAAUCAGGACUGGAAAAUGUCACAGAUCGAUGAGAGCCUGUGGCAUUAAGAGAAGAGAAACCCCCACUUGCACCACGGCUGCCUCCCUGCUUGCUCUCUGCCUUCGGUUGACCUAGUUGAGUCACAGGGACAUGGCGAGCGAGAGACAUCCUGUGCUGUGGUUGGCACUGAUGCUGCUGGGGAGGAAGAGGGGCUUCUCCAGAGGGCCACUGCCUGCCCCACGUAGGUGGGGGGAGCAGGGCCAAGAGGUGAGUGCCCUGAGGCAGGGCUGGUGGAAAGAGCCGGCUCUCGCUUACAUUUGUGUCAUGCCCGUCUGUUCUCUGUGCUACAGUCCAAAAGGAAAAGCUGAUUUUUUUGAUUUUUCUUCCUCUUGCCAGAGUGAAGGAAGUUGCUGACGGCUCUCUCCCAGCUAAUGUGUGGGAGAGAUGGCACAAGCUGAAGGCACAGGUUGGGCAGUGAGGAAGGGAGCCAGGCUGUGGGUGAGCUCCUGCAGGGACCUGGCUGGGUGCUGACCCCCAGUUCUGACAUGUUAAAGCAUGUUCAGACGUGUUCACUGCUUGUGAGUGCCCUCCUUGCUUGAUCUUCAAAGACAAUAUAUCCACAUAUUAAGUCACUGCUUGGUGUCUUAUCUGAUCAUUGUCCCCCCAUGGGACCCAUCCCAGGUAGCCCUGGGGAGCCCUGUGGGGGCAGGACAUGUUUGACCUCCUCCCAAGGCUGCCAAACCUGGGACAGCGGGAGGCAGACACUGCUGCCACUGGCUGUGGCCCUCUCAGCACCCCCCAGGCACAGAAAGACUUUCCUGGGAAAAAAACCAGAUUUAUCGUUAUUCUAGGCUCUAAGGGUUGCGCAGAAUUGCAACAGAAAGCCUGAGGCCUCUUUUUUUUUCUUUUUUCUUUUUUCUUUUUUUUUUUUUUUCACUCUGAGAAGUCUUUUUUUCCGUGCACAAGCUUUUUUUGCAGGGAAGGUGAUCAAAAAGAAUAAACCUCCCCGUGCCAGAGAGCUGGAUUCAGGCUUAGGAAAGAGUGUAAGGAGCUGGACAGCUGCAGGGAAGGGCUGAUGAGGCUGGAGACAGGUUCAGCUUGAUACACACUACGGGAGCAUCCCUGGGGCCAGUUGAGGCCUCUCCAACUAUAAAAGGGCAUGGGGAUGGGGCUCCUUCCAUUCAGGGCUUUGCCCCAAGCAGAGUCAGGAAAGUGAGGCUUCACUUCACCUCUGAGGUGCCACAGACGGGGUACAGGUGACCCCCUGCAGCCAUGCCCCAGAGCUGACCUGUUUCCAUGUGGGCUGGUGGAUCUGGCCACUGCAGCUCCCUCCCUGCCCAGGUGUUAUAGUUUAUCUUUCUUUUUCAUUAUUCCUUACGGAACAUUUCUUUCUCGUUAAACUGAGGCACCAGGGCAGACACCAUGAAAGGGGAAGAGAUGCUGUAAAAACCAAGGUAAUUUAGGGCUCUUUCUCCCAUCCCCAGCCAUGAAGGGAGAUGAGCAUGUUGGCAAGGAAAAGUCAUCUUAUGGGAAUAAACUGUCUUGCUCAGAUCUAUCUGUUGCAUCUGUACUGAAGAUGCAACUGAAAGAAUUAGUCUUUUCAGGGUCAAAGCUAAAAAAAGCAAAGAAUCCUCAAACACUAGAUAAGGAAGAGAUGAUUCAAGAAGAUAGAGAUGUUACCAAAUUUCUGAGUUAUAACUUAUUGUUUUUGCAGUCGUGCAGGGAAAAUAUUUAAGAGCUGUUUGUAGUGAAGAUAUUUAAGAGCUGUCCGGAGGGCUGAAGAAAAAUGAAAGACAGCAAAUUCUCCAAGUAUCUGUUUCACAUAUGAGCUCUAGCGGACAGAAGGGGAGAGGACACUGCUGGGGGUACAUGUGGUCACAUGUUGCCUGGGUUACUGUGUCUGCCUUGGUGAGGAACCAGGAAACAUUCCCUCUCUGCCAAGAAAAGAGGGUGAUCAGCCAAAGGCACAUGGAGCUCAUUACGGGAUGCUGGGAAGAGCCUUCUGAGGACUUACUGUGGGAUGUGUGAGGAAAGGAGCAAACGGGAAAGAGAUUGAUCAAGGUGGGAAAACAGAGGGAAAAGGGGACAAAAGGGACUGCUCAGAUGCCUAUCUGACUGUGCCCUGUGCCUGAUUGCUGUGGCAUGUCCCGUCUGCUUUCUAAACUCUCUUCACAUGUUUCCCUGGAAAGGGUCUCUGCUUGGUGUGCACAGGUGUGUAUGGAGGUCAGAGUGCCAGUGAGGGAAGGGACACCAUGGGGCAAAGCAACCUGUGUGCCAGGAUAGCAGCUGCCAGAGAGACGGGGGUGUGGGUGGGUAUGUUGGUGUGUACAGUGGCUAGCAAGCAGUAAGCCAUGCCAGCUGGAAACUAGGAUAAAAGUCUCAGGAGACAGGAGGAUGGACUGGAGAGACUGUAUGUCUAAGAUCAGCAGCUGAAGGAAUUCAUAUGUUCUGCUGUGGGCUUUCAUCUUGAUAAGCCAGAGAGGGGAAGAGGAUGAGGCCACUGGUGCUGCUUGUGUGAGGACUGUGGAUUUUCUGCCUGUACUGAUCUGCAUGGCUGACUGUGUGAAUGUAUAUCUAUACACACACACACAUAUAUAUACACACACACACACACACACACAUUGUGGGUAUAUAUAUGUUCUGUGAGCAUGCACACUGAGCCUUGCUGCUGGCUGGGCCCAGGGAGCCAGAGCUGCAGCAGCCUUAUCAGUGGGACACUGGUAUGAACCCAUAUUUGCUUGCCUGCCUGCAGAGAGGUGUCCCCUCUCAAGGUCCCCCAGGGUGGCCAGGGUGCAGGGGGUGCUGGCUGCAGGCAAGGGAGCCCUGAACAUGCCCCUGAAGCCCAGCCAUGUCCGUGUGUCUGUGGGAGAAAGCAGGCUGGGCUGUUCAUGUUUCACCUAAGGACUAGUGAAAGUGGCAGGUGGAGAAGAAAACAAACACAGGGUAGCUGCAAACAUCACCGGUGAAGGGCUGACUGCUCGGCCUCCCUGCGUUUCGUUCUGCAACACUUGAACUCCUCCUGCCCGCGUCCCUCGGGGCUGACAGCGCGGCGGCUGCGUGGGACGGGCAGGCAGCUCCGGGGGCUCAGGUGCCAACCACAGCCUUCGUGCUGUGCCCCCCGCCCCCUCUUUAAAGCCCGCCGGAGCACGAGUGCUGCUGUAAUACAGAGAAAGCCUCUGGCCGGGUUAGUCAUCCGAGGCUCUCGGGGCCAGACGCGCUCGCCUGCAGAGCCCCCGCAGGUACCGAAAUGCGCGGCCGGGGCUGGGGGUGCCUCGUCCACGGCACCCACGGGCUGCUCCUGCAAGUGCUCGUGGGCUCCUGCCAGCCACGAGCGAACGGGGCCUGGCUGCGUGUUUUAUUAUGGUUGUAGGAGAAUUAGCAGCUGGGAAAUAUUUCCUGCCCCUGCUGUUUUAUGGGCUUAUGUCAUGAAGACAGAGAAGGUUGCGUUAGACUACAAGCCUCAAGGUCUAUCUGCCGGGGACACCCUGGGAGAAGGGGCUGAGGACUGCUGGAUUUUUGGGGAUCUGGACCUUUUCUCAUCUCAAACAGAAGUAAAAGUUUAAACCUAUGGAAACGCUGUUGUGAUAAGAACUUAUCAGUCAUUCAUUCAAGCUGCACCUACGUAAUUCAGUGUUUUGCAAAUAAAGGGAAUAAAAAGAGAAAACUGAGCAGGUUGUUUCUGUGUGCUGUCUCAGAGAUUGGCACGAGGUCCCAGCAACUUUCCUCCUGCAGGGUCCAGAGAAGGGAAUGGUAAUGCUGCCAGGAAAAUCUCUAUCAGGACUCCAGUGAGACCAGGGUGGUAUCAGGACAGUUUACAAUGGUUUCAGGUGGUCAUUUCGUAAUAUGGAUACUGUUAAGCUGGAUGCAAGUGCUAUAUUUGGUGCC